rnacentral:rRNA from 1 species
GAUGAACGCUGGCGGCGUGCUUAACACAUGCAAGUCGAACGAAGAUGCCGGAGUGCUUGCACUUUGGCAGACUGAGUGGCGGACGGGUGAGUAACGCGUGGGUAACCUGCCUUAUACAGGGGGAUAACAGUUGGAAACGACUGCUAAUACCGCAUAAGCGCACGGCAUCGCAUGAUGCAGUGUGAAAAACUCCGGUGGUAUAAGAUGGACCCGCGUUGGAUUAGCUAGUUGGUGAGGUAACGGCCCACCAAGGCGACGAUCAGUAGCCGGACUGAGAGGUUGAACGGCCACAUUGGGACUGAGAUACGGCCCAGACUCCUACGGGAGGCAGCAGUGGGGAAUAUUGGGCAAUGGGCGCAAGCCUGACCCAGCAACGCCGCGUGAAGGAAGAAGGCUUUCGGG